rnacentral:rRNA from 1 species
UACGGAGGGUGCAAGCGUUAUCCGGAUUCACUGGGUUUAAAGGGAGCGUAGGUGGGCUGGUAAGUCAGUGGUGAAAUCUCCGGGCUUAACCCGGAACUGCCGUUGAUACUAUCAGUCUUGAAUAUUGUGGAGGUAAGCGGAAUAUGUCAAUGUAGCGGUGAAAUGCUUAGAUAUGACAUAGAACACCAAUUGCGAAGGCAGCUUACUACACAACGAUUGACGCUGAGGCACGAAAGCGUGGGGAUCAAACAGG